UUAUCUUCUCCGCUUCCUCUUCUAUUGAUCCAUACCAAGAAGCCGAUUGAUUUACUCCCCAAUCAUUGAGACUUCCGUUUCCAUUUGGUCAUUUAUUCCUCGCCUAGCAUGUGCCCCGUCCCCUUCCUCAUUCCAAUUUCUGGCUACGUCCUCUUGCCUGUUCGAAUUCGUCGGCGAUACAACUUCUCGAUCUAUAAAUGGCUCCUCCAAGAAUCCUGCUGCGAACUCCUCAUUGCCUUCGUUCUGCUCUUCCGGUUAACCGAGGAGUCUGCGAGAGAUUUGACAAUAUGUCAAAGUUGACUGUUCAUGCAGUUGAAGCGCAAGUUCUGAAUUAUCAUGAAGCCGUUGAAUCGUCUGUUCUGAACUCGAGCACCCACAUGAAGCGAUCGGUCAUGCAGUGCCAGAAUCUCACAGCUCCAGCAGUUCCAACGCCUGGAACGAGGCACGCGCCUACCUGAACCGACCGAUUCAACCAGUCUGUACGAUGGUUAUAGUGAAGAAAAAUACCAAAUACGCAUGCAGUUGAAGUGACUUCUUUCUACCACUCCAUCAACCGAGAGUCUAUUAUUUGAGUGACAAAGAAAAGAGAAAAACAGUUUAAACAUGGGCAUUGCAUGGCGGAAGUAUAUCAGAUGUGAAUCUUCCAUAUAGUGAAUCUUUGGUGUAUGUAGAAAACAUGUCCCUGAUGUCCUUCUUUCCAUGAAUGUAUUUCUGAGUUGUUUCCGCCAUUUGUUUUUGCAGGUUGCAUAAAUUUUACAGGUUCCAAUUUGUUUUUGCAGGUUGCAUAAAUUUUACCAGAGUUUAGUAACUGGAUUAGAAUUUAAUAGAGUUUUUUCGAGUGUGAAGAAUUUAACAGAGUGCAGAACAUGUUGGCAAGUGUGGCUCGCUACCUUAUCUUGAGAUUUUGUGUGGUAUUUAUUCAUUCCUUCCCAGGUUGCACAUGAUAUCUAAAGUGAUUAUUGCUAUACAUAGGAACGACAUUCCAACAUCUUACUAACGUGAUUUGAAUCAGUUUACCAGAUGCAGGAAAUGAAUAUCCAAUUACGCGGUACUUUCAUAUUCAGUGUAACUCAACGGGUGACUUGAUGUCAUUAGCUUCCCUUGAGCCUAGUUUCUCGCUUUGAUUUUCAGGUAAACUUUCUGAAACUGAUAGUUGCCCAAUGGAAAUCCCGUGUCUCCAUUUAAUUGGCUUUUUUUUCCAAGAUCUCAUAUUUAUUAUGAUCGUACAGACUAACGUUGCAGGAUCUAUGGCGCACACCGCAAUAAUCAUUUUCGUAGCUGCAGAACCAGACCCAGAGGUUAAAAUGAGCCUCUUAAUAUAUUAGUGCUUUGGUUAUUUUUGUUUUGGAAGUUUAACGGGGCUUCCCUCUCCACCGGUGGUGAUACAAAACACUAGAUCGACGUACGAGGCUUUGAGGAAUGUGACCCUCUACCGGCAUGAGGUGUUUGGGAUUUCCGGCGUUGAUCGCGUACUGGCGUUUAAACAGAUUGUUAAUUUGAUGCAUACGAUAGUAGAUGUUAGUUAAUUAGCAUGGCGGGACAUUUUUUGUGACUUUCUAAUU